UGGAAGAGCCAGGACUCACCCCCAGUUUUUGUUUCUUUUCCAAGCUAGAGUAUUUGGAAAUAUUGAGAAGUGAGAGAGUAUUCUGCCAAAUCAUGUCACUAAGCAACGUAUUUUUGGUUGUCUUUAUCUCCCAGGCCUUUUGUCAGCCCAAAAUUUCAGAGUUACACAUGUUACCCUAACAGAAAUAUUUUUACACUGGGAUCCUCCAGAUCCUGUAUUUUUUCAUCAUUACCUUAUCACUAUUUUGGAUGUUGAAAACAAUACAUCAGAAGAGGUGUUUGUUGAAAAACGCAACACAGCAACCAUAGUUGGAGACCUCAAGUCUUUUCAUCAUUAUCUGGUAUAUCUAUUCAGUGUAGCAGAAAGAGGAACUUUAAGUUGCUUGGAGAAACCACUUUCAGUCAUUACAGAACCCAAACCAGUCUGGAUUGUUAUCCCCUAUGAAAGUCGUAGUACCUCU
rnacentral:lncRNA from 1 species